UUUUUUGUAUUUUUUUGUAUUUUUUUUAUAAAUUGUUAAAAAAAAUACAGGGACAAUUUCAGAUCUUAUCUCUUUUUGACUCAUUUAUCAUUUGUGAGAGUGAUAGGCAACAAAACAGGACUGGUGGUUUAACCAUGUCACUUUCAGGGCUCGAUGAUCGUUUUUUAGGUGAUAAUGUGCCUUCCCUUCUAAUUGAUGCAUCACCUGUUCAAUUUAUUUUCUUUCUAUAAAUACCCUUGGAUGGAAUGGAAAACAAUAUUGUAAAACGUAUUAAAAUGAUAACAAUGGAAAUAUAAUGAUAUUAUAAACAAGGUUGUUGAAAGUAUUUUUUGUUUUUUGGGAAUAGACCUGGACAAACAUACUUAGUUUUUCAAAUUUAGGAAGUUUAUGUACGUGACCAUUAUGUUUUUUUUCUUUAGUUGUCUAUUGAAAAGUUGCAAAAAAAAAAAAAAAAAAAAAAAAAAAAAAAAAAAACAAAACUCCACCCUACGUAUAUAACUAUGUCGAAGAUGACAUUAAGAUAGACUGAAAAUGCAUCCGCUUCUGUUUUGUUUAUAUCCAUUCACUACUAAAAAAUCAUCGUUUUUUUGUUUAUAUUAUUAUGUUUAUAGUUGAGAAAUUUCUACUUUGAAUCAAAGGAGGAAGGUAUAGUGAAGGCAUAUAUAUCCCUUUCCCUAAACCCUCGGUUUUGGGUUCAAUUCUACUUGAAAUGUUCUCCAUAGCUUAUCAUUUAUAAAUUAAAUUACAAGUAUUUUAUGUUAAUCGGUCUGUACAUGUUAGUGGAUAUUUUUACGACAUUUCACCUUAUAUCUAACUUUCUUUCCAUAUAUUUGAAUUAAAAAAUCCAUGCUCCCAUAGGUUUCUGUUAGUAGAAUCUACAAGAUUUUCUGUUCAUGGACUAUUAGGAGUACCUGCUGUUUCUUAAAGCCCCCGGUCUCAUAAGUAAUUUUCAACAUAUUAAAACCCACCUCUACAGUAGGUUUCUCUUUCAUAUUUUGGACUUCUUUAGAUUAUUCUAUACUUUUUUUUCACUUUCCAUUUUAUUUUAAUUAAACGAUGUUAACUAAUAUGCAUCAGCACAAUUCAAUUGUCAGUAACUGCUAACACUGCCACAUCAGCACAAGUAAAGUAUCAAGCGGUUCUAAAUAUAGCGGUAAACUCCUUGACUUUUUUAAAAUUAUUGUUAGAGAUAAGUGACAUUUAAAUUUAAACAGAUAGUAUUUUUUUCAAUUUGAUUUGAAGAGGAAAUUAACAACACAUAAGGAUAACUAAUUCAGUAAAUAUCCAUAUCCGUGAAGUGAAGGGGCAAAAGGAGCCUCACACGGCCAAACCGACACUCGGUUUUUGGUGUUAAGAGGUACUAACAUACUUUGAUUUUUUUUUUCAUUAUAUUUUCCUAAUAUAGCAUCCUACUUUCAUUCACUACAAAAGUUUAAACAAAUGCGUUGUGGUUCAAAAAAAAUCAUUUACAUUGCUCUUUUUCUGUGUUUUCAAACCUUUGUUUACAUAUUCUUUCCAUUGUUUUAUUGUUGAUCUAGCAACAAAUGUUCUUUCCCAAAUUCUUUCUAUUAUUUUAUUGUUGAUUUAAUAGCACCUGUUAACUUCCAAAAGUAAUGAAAGUGUUAAUUUUAUUUUAAUCCUUUUUUUUAAUUUUACCUUUUAUGGAAUCAAACGUCACAGUUCGGAUUAUGAUAAUAAUUUCAUUUCUUAAAUGGGUUUUAUUUCAGAAUCCAUUGAAGAAACACUACAUUAACUGUUUUGUUAGCUAUUUAUCUAAUUACAUUGUUUGUGGCCAACUGAUAUAUCAAAACACUACUAAUUAUAAACUUUUAUUAAUAAAUUAAAUCAUUCCAUCAUUUCAGUUCAUAUUCAGGAAAAUUGGUCUUCAUGCUUCAGAACAACAUUUCAUGGAUGGUCUUCAUUGGGUAGGUGAUGUAAAGCAAUUUAAAGCUUCACUUAACUAGAGGCCAAUGGCUCACAGGAAAACAAUGGUUUUCAUAUCUUAGUCGACAUUAAUACAAGAAACAGUAAUGAAGUUUAGUUGAUUUUGAUUUUGUUAUUGAUAGUUUGAUAUAGCUUGAAAUUUUUGUUGCACAAAUAGUAAUUUUUCAUGGAACAUUUUCCUCAUUUUCUAUGGUAUUCAUGUUUUUAGUUCCAUGAAUUUCUUCAAUAUCUUGGCUGUAUAAAACCAAUAUACCUUUAGAUUCUAAGCAAUUAUGCUUAUGAUUCUUAAUUUGUAUAUCUACCGUUGUACUGUGUGCAGAGGACAAUGAUAACAUAUGGUGAUGUGGAUGAUUUCUUAGGUUCUGGUCGGGACAUUGGUAUGUCUUCGAACAAGAAGCUGAGUGUGGGGUGUAAUUUUAUUUGGGAUGGUGUGGUAGGCNUUUUUUUUUUUUUUUUUUUUUUUUUUUUUUUUUUUUUUUUUUUUUUAUCUUCGACUAUUAAUUU
rnacentral:lncRNA from 1 species